rnacentral:misc_RNA from 1 species
AACGCACCUUGCACCCUUUGGUAUUCCGAAGGGUACACCCGUUUGAGUGUCAUUGUAAUCUCACUAUGAUCGACUUUAUGUCUUCCGUAUGUGGACUUGGAUGUUGCCGUGGAUAUCCACGGCUCGUCUGAAACACUUCAGUGUACCCCGCAGAGCGGCGUAUUCGGUGUGAUACAUCUUCACCGGAGUUGAUCCUUUAUGGGUCGCGUCUGUAGUGUGUGGCUCUAUGCUUCCAACUGUCUUGAUAGGACAAUCUUUGACAAUUCGACCUCAAAUCGGGUGGGACUACCCGCUGAACUUAA